rnacentral:sRNA from 1 species
UAUAAAGGUACGCAGCCAUUGCCACGUCCUGUGGCAAUAGGCUGCGUGACCUACAUCCUGUAGG